UGUGAACUCGAAGAGUAGGGCGGGACACGUGGUAUCCUGUCUGAAUAUGGGGGGACCAUCCUCCAAGGCUAAAUACUCCUGACUGACCGAUAGUGAACCAGUACCGUGAGGGAAAGGCGAAAAGAACCCCGGCGAGGGGAGUGAAAAAGAACCUGAAACCGUGUACGUACAAGCAGUGGGAGCACCUUCGGGUGUGACUGCGUACCUUUUGUAUAAUGGGUCAGCGACUUAUAUUCUGUAGCAAGGUUAACCGUAUAGGGGAGCCGCAGGGAAACCGAGUCUUAACUGGGCGUUAAGUUGCAGGGUAUAGACCCGAAACCCGGUGAUCUAGCCAUGGGCAGGUUGAAGGUUGGGUAACACUAACUGGAGGACCGAACCGACUAAUGUUGAAAAAUUAGCGGAUGACUUGUGGCUGGGGGUGAAAGGCCAAUCAAACCGGGAGAUAGCUGGUUCUCCCCGAAAGCUAUUUAGGUAGCGCCUCGUGAAUUCAUCUUCGGGGGUAGAGCACUGUUUCGGCUAGGGGGUCAUCCCGACUUACCAACCCGAUGCAAACUACGAAUACCGAAGAAUGUUAUCACGGGAGACACACGGCGGGUGCUAACGUCCGUCGUGAAGAGGGAAACAACCCAGACCGCCAGCUAAGGUCCCAAAGUCAUGGUUAAGUGGGAAACGAUGUGGGAAGGCACAGACAGCCAGGAUGUUGGCUUAGAAGCAGCCAUCAUUUAAAGAAAGCGUAAUAGCUCACUGGUCGAGUCGGCCUGCGCGGAAGAUGUAACGGGGCUAAACCAUGCACCGAAGCUGCGGCAGCGACACUAUGUGUUGUUGGGUAGGGGAGCGUUCUGUAAGCCUGCGAAGGUGUGCUGUGAGGCAUGCUGGAGGUAUCAGAAGUGCGAAUGCUGACAUAAGUAACGAUAAAGCGGGUGAAAAGCCCGCUCGCCGGAAGACCAAGGGUUCCUGUCCAACGUUAAUCGGGGCAGGGUGAGUCGACCCCUAAGGCGAGGCCGAAAGGCGUAGUCGAUGGGAAACAGGUUAAUAUUCCUGUACUUGGUGUUACUGCGAAGGGGGGACGGAGAAGGCUAUGUUAGCCGGGCGACGGUUGUCCCGGUUUAAGCAUGUAGGCUGGUUGUCCAGGCAAAUCCGGAUAAUCAAGGCUGAGGUGUGAUGACGAGGCACUACGGUGCUGAAGUAACAAAUGCCCUGCUUCCAGGAAAAGCCUCUAAGCAUCAGGUAACAUUAAAUCGUACCCCA
rnacentral:rRNA from 1 species